rnacentral:rRNA from 1 species
GAUGAACGCUGGCGGCGUGCCUAAUACAUGCAAGUCGAGCGAACAGAUGAGAAGCUUGCUUCUCUGAUGUUAGCGGCGGACGGGUGAGUAACACGUGGGUAACCUACCUAUAAGACUGGGAUAACUCCGGGAAACCGGGGCUAAUACCGGAUAAUAUAUUGAACCGCAUGGUUCAAUGUUGAAAGACGGUUUCGGCUGUCACUUAUAGAUGGACCCGCGCCGUAUUAGCUAGUUGGUAAGGUAACGGCUUACCAAGGCAACGAUACGUAGCCGACCUGAGAGGGUGAUCGGCCACACUGGGACUGAGACACGGUCCAGACUCCUACGGGAGGCAGCAGUAGGGAAUCUUCCGCAAUGGGCGAAAGCCUGACGGAGCAACGCCGCGUGAGUGAUGAAGGUCUUAGGAUCGUAAAACUCUGUUGUUAGGGAAGAACAAAUUUGUUAGUAACUGAACAAGUCUUGACGGUACCUAACCAGAAAGCCACG